UCUAGAUUUUUAAAAAGAUUUUAAAAAGUGC
rnacentral:piRNA from 1 species